CUUCCCCUGCAUCUCUCUCCCUUUCUCGCGUGCACGCGCAUGGGAUCUCUCGCAUCACUGUCGAAGUGGAACCCGGAGGAUGAUAUCCUGCUCAAGAAUGCUGUAGAAGCAGGUGCAUCUUUGGAGUCAUUAGCUAAAGGUGCAGUGUGUUUUUCCCAGAGGUUCACCCUUAAAGAAUUGCAAGACCGUUGGCAUUCUCUCGUUUUUGCUCCUGAAACCUCAUCAGGGGCCUCAACUCGUAUGCUCGAAUAUGAGGAGUUUGCUACAUGUUUCCCUAACAAAGUUAACCGAGCUUGCAGCAUAAAAGGGAAAUAUUUGGAAUCCAGGAAAAGAAAAGUGAAGAGUGUGAGAAGUCUUUUCUAUGCCAAGAGGAAGCGUAUCAGAAGCAAACCAUUUGAGUCAAGUAAUCGUGACUUUGCACACUAUUCAGACAUAGCUAAUGAAAGUAUUUAUGGCUGUGGAGAUCAAUUAAACCUUCAGAAUCAACAUCAUGCAGAUAAUAUUUUUCCAGCUGAACAUAUAUUGAACUGCCAUGAGUCCUCACAGACCGGUUAUGACAAUGAACAAGGUGUCUUUCCAGAAAUACUUAGGUUUACCUCUAAUACUAUAAGGGGUUCUGAUGCUCAUCCUACCUGCCACACUGAGCAUAUUGGUUCAGUUGAAGAUGAAUGUUGUCCCAAUGGAAUAGUGGAUAGGGGCUAUCUAUAUGAUUUCAAAGAUAAUGUUUCACUCGAGUUAGUUGACAAAGAACAGUUGAACAAUGAGUUUUUGGAGGAGAAUCUACCUUCAUUCCAUGUUUCUAACGAUGAUCUUGAAGACAAAUUGAUCCAACCAUUGCCUACUGAUGACUCAUGUGACAAAGAUGCAACAGACACAAAACCCUUAGUUGCUACUUCUAAAAGUGAGAAUUAUGAUGCUAUUCAAGAAAACAAUAACACGGGCACACAUAUUCCUGGAUCAGGAGACACAGUCCAUCAGGUUGGAUGUUCAUCUACUUUACCUGUUGUGCCUCCUUUAGGGGAAAUUAAAGACAUUCCCUUAGAAAAUAUGCCUAUGGAUAUGCAUCUUGAAAGCUCAGGAGUUGUUGGAGUUGAUGCUAACAUUGAUAAAUUAGGAUGCAGUAAUAUGUCCUCAAAUGCCACUCGGGGUGAUGUUAUCUCUGAUGUUGGAUUAAGUUCACCUAUGAUCCAAGAAAAUGACCUCAUGGAUUUCUCUAGUGCAUUCAUGGAUUUUUCUGGUGAUGAUGGUCUCAUGUUUGUUGAUAUUGGCGAAAAAGAUACUGGAGAUUCAUCUUGUCUAAAUGGACUAAGCUCCAUUUUCUUAAGUUCUCCUAGUGAUUCACACGAAGAUUGUCCAGCUAAUUCAAAUGAUCCAGAAGAUAUAGUGAACUUGGAUGGUUUUAUUAAGAUUCCUGAUGGAGGCUUUCUUGAUGAAGCAAGCAAAGACAGUCAUCAGGUUGAUUUCCUCUAUAAGAAUGAUCUAAUUGACCAAUAUUCCUUGCAAAAUGUGCCAGUUGUAUCUUCAGAAGUCUCACUUUCUGCUGAACAUCAUCAAGGACCUCUAAUUUGCACACUGAACACUGAGGACCAUGAUAUACCAUGCAAUGAUGAUUUUCUUUUACCUACUCAAACAGUGACGCAAUUCUCUUCGCCUACUAAAUCAUUGUCUAGAAAUGUUGAGUGUUCUUUAGGGGAUUUUGGCAAAAUAGUACAGGAACAACUACCAAAUCCACAACCAAUUGUGUCUAGCACUGCAUUACUGCCUUCUUCAUUACCCAAAGUAGGAUUCUUGCACUUAUCUAAUGAUGGCAGGCUAGAAGCUAAACCGUUUGAAAGGACCAUCAUGGCUGGUGUAUCUGGAGAUGCAGGCUUUGAUGCUAAUGAAAGAAAGGCUUGCAUACAGCCUAUAUUAUCACAUUCUGUGGCAGGUGGUUCUUUGCAUGGAGAAAAUGCAACUCAUAAUUUAGAAAAACAUUGUAACUUUGAUGCUUCUAUCAAUCCAUCUCUGGAUAAUUCAGCCCCUGGACAUGAUCGUGAUAAACAUUACACAUUAAUAGCUGGUGGUUGUAAACCUGAAUUUGAUAUACAAGGUACCAUAGAAAAUUAUGCUCCACCGCAUUCAGAACUAGCUAUGUCUAACUUGGGCAAUUCACAACCCAUCCCAGCUCUCUCUACUUCAGAUCAAGAGGUUCAGGAUUCUGAAAUUGAAGAUGAUGUACCCUAUUUUGCUGAUGUUGAAGCAUUGAUACUUGAUAUGGAUCUAGGUCCAUAUGAUCAAGAAUCUUGUCUAUUUACCAAAGAAGUUUCACUUUAUCAGCCUCUAGAGAGCAGGAAGGCAAUAAUGAAGUUGGAGCAAGGCGCCCGUUCUUUUAUGAACAGGAAAAUAUCAGUGCACGAUUCGUUUGCAGUUUUUUAUGGUCGCUUUAUGAAGUACUUCUUUAAAAAGCGUGAGGUUCUACUUGGGAGAGGGACAAGUGAAAGAGAAGUUGAUAUUGACUUGAGAGAAGAAGGACAUGUUAAUAAGAUAUCUCGACGCCAGGUAACCACCACCAACUUACUAUACAUGUUUUUUUUUUGAGUCUUUCAGUCAGGAGAUUUUGUUUCUUAGUUUAAUCAUUUAAGCAAUUCCUUCCUUUUGUUGUACCAUAAUGAACUCACAAGAGGCCCUCAGGGCUAUGGUGCUGUGGUUAGAUCUCCAAGUGUGGAUCCCAGGAAUCUCAGAGCUGAGACUCAACUGCAGGGGAUUUUUCUUCCAAUGAGAAGUGGGCCUGAGAAAAUGGGUCAUCUAAAUAAGACCACCACGAGCGCAUCUCGAUUUACCUUGGUGGGGUGGGAAACUUCCGUGGACCGGGCCGGUCACCUCCAAGAUUAGUGUCGGUGCAGAUUAUGAAAUAAAUAAUGAACUCGUAAGAGAUUAUGAAAUAAAUAUUUAUCUACAUGCUUUAAGGAUUAAAGUUUAAUAUACCUACUUAAAUUAUGCAUCAUUCCAAUUUCAAUUUCAUUUUUGAUGGUUGAGCCUCAGAAAGAAAUUGAAUUUAGUGUUGGUGCAGAUUGCUAAUGCGUUUAUAAAUCGUGUAUAAAUUCUUUGACCUGAGAUGAAAUGUUAUCUUGCAGUAAACAGGGACAGACUGAAGGGUGGGCGUGUAGAAAUCCUAAUCAAACUAUGUAACAAAAUAAUAUGACAAAUAAAUAAAAGGUGUUUGAGAAAAUAAAUUAUAAGCGGCCAAAUGUUAUUUGACAAACAUUGAAAUUAGAGGCAACCAUGAUGUGCUGCAAGGUCAAAUUUUUUUAUGGCAAUAUUUAAGAUGGAAGAAGAUGGAUCCAUUUUCUUAAAGAACAUCGGCAAAUGUCCUAUCUUUGUCAACAGCAAAGAAGUUGCAACAAAAAAAAGGAUACUUUUAGAUUCUAGUUCAUUGAUUGAGAUCAGAGAUUUCACCUUCAUGUUUGAGGUGAAUGAGAGUGCUGUGAGGCAGUAUGUUGCCAGGGCAGCAGCGGCCCAUCAAAGCCAGGUUUUGAAAUUUGACUGGUUACCUGAUGAGAAACCAUAAGCAAAUCCAACACCAACAUUUUCACUCUUUCUUCCUCCACUUGAAAUCAUUGUGUCCUUCACGUAUUAACAUCCACAUAUGUAGUUAAAAGCCCAGCUGCAGUAAAUUUGUUUAUACCGUAUUUUUGUAUUAGGUUUCCAUUUCUAUUCGAGUCGAUCCUUCAUGUUUCCAUUUCCAAAUUAAGUCUGCUGAUUGAAUCUUUUUAGAGUAGACUUAUAGAUUUCCAGAUAGCCUCAAUUGAUCAAUCUCACACAGUGGUCCAUAUAUCAAUUCUUGAAUAAUGAUUCACUGACUCAAGAUGCUUGUGGAGGAAUGCUAAGAUUGAAUUUUUGAAGGUCGCAGCAGGAGAAAAUGAGGCAGAUCCCAAAGUUGUUUCAAAGUUGACAGACAGGUAAGUUGUAAAGUUGAUAAAAAAACUGCAAAUUCCUGCAUAAUUAGAAUUGUUAAUCUCCUCUUUCUGUGAGGAAUUCAUUCUUUUUUCGAUGGUCAUGGCCUCUUUAGUCUGUAUGUAUUUAUCAAUCGCUAUUGUGGCUUUGUAAUGCUUUUACAUGUGUGAAGGUUGUUUUUUCUUGAAGGUAAUUAAGUAGGAGGGAAUUAGGUGGA